UACGUAGGUGGCGAGCGUUGUCCGGAUUUACUGGGCGUAAAGAGCGCGCAGGCGGUCGCGUAAGUCGAAUGUGAAAGCCCCCGGCUCAACUGGGGAGGGUCAUUCGAUACUGCACGACUCGAAGGCAGGAGAGGGAAGCGGAAUUCCCGGUGUAGUGGUGAAAUGCGUAGAUAUCGGGAGGAACACCAGUGGCGAAGGCGGCUUUCUGGCCUGUUCUUGACGCUGAGGCGCGAAAGCUAGGGGAGCAAACGGG
rnacentral:rRNA from 1 species